rnacentral:rRNA from 1 species
CCUUCGGGAGCCCGAAGACAGGUGCUGCAUGGCUGUCGUCAGCUCGCGUCGUGAGAUGUUGGGUUAAGUCCCGCAACGAGCGCAACCCUCGACCUUAGUUGCCAGCAUUCAGGUUGGGCACUCGUAAGGUGACUGCCGGCUAAAAGUCGGAGGAAGGUGGGGAUGACGUCAAAUCAUCACUGCCCCUUAUGGACCUGGGCUACACACGUGCUACAAUGGGCGGUACAAAGGGUCGCGAACCCGCGAGGGGGAGCCAAUCCCAAAAAGCCGCUCUCAGUUCGGAUUGCAGGCUGCAACUCGCCUGCAUGAAGCCGGAAUCGCUAGUAAUCGCGGAUCAGCAUGCCGCGGUGAAUACGUUCCCGGGCCUU